GCUACAAGUAGCUACUCUGCUAGGAAUAGAGCGAAACAUUGCGCUGUUACUGCGUACAUCGACGAUGUCCCGAAACUAGUUACUUGUACAAUAUAUGAUGUUGGACGUAUUAAUAAAAUAAAAUGGGAUAAGGGAUACGAAAUAAGGAAUGUACACUACAAAAAGAAAAUCUUGAUUUCAGAUUAACUGAUCUGAAAUUCGUUGCAUUUUCAAAAAUGUUUUCAUGUGCUCAUAGUAAUAUUGUGUAAAAGGCAAUUUUAAGUUCGAUUGGUUUCUUCGCUCGAAUCAUGACUAUCAAGAGGCUCUUCUUCAAUCCCAUGCUCAGAGGUGACCAGUCCGUAGCAAAAAUUGUAUCACCCACGCUCCAGCUCUAAGGGAUGAAGCAGGCAGUAAAACUGAAAUAAUUUUAUCACUAAAAUCAAAGUACCUUCAUAGUCACGGCGGUGCCAUACCAACAAUAGAGGAAAAUUUGUACAAGCAUGCAAGACAGAUAUGACAAGAGUGCUACGAAAUCGGAACUUAGUAAAACUAUCUUUGACAGUUCGUAUACGCUCGAGCAAAUGACUAAAGCUGCAAUGAAAAAUUGGGCGAACAAUGCCAUGGAAAAUGUAUCGUUUAUAUCCUUUGAGAAUCUGAAAUACAUCGAUCAAUAAUACAAUGCAAUAUCGUUAAUAACUGUGAUUUUUCCUACUGGAAAAAAGUUGAUAAAUUCGAUGAGAUUUACUAUUUCAAGUCGAAAAGCUUUUUCAUCGAUGACUUGAAUGAUGAAUUUUAAUCAAUUUUCAGCAUUAGUGCUUAGAGUAUAGCGCUCAAGUCGAUAAGAAAUCUUACCUUAAUAGCACAAAACAUUGUAAAAACGUUUGCUUGACAACUAAAUAACGUUUUUCAAACAAGUUAUGAAAACGUUGCAAGAACGUUGCGAAUACGUGCUUAAGUCCGCCUCAUUUACAUUUUAUUCAAAUAUUAAAACGUUACAAUUACGUUCAAAUUACGUUUUUAAAACGUUGGAAAUGCUGGAAUAAAGAAUUAAAGUGUAAUAACAUGACAUCCAGGUGUAGAUACUACACCAUAAUUGGACGAUAAUUGGAAGUAUCAUCCAGAUGGUACCAUUUUUAGCCUAAAUCUUUUUUAAUGAUUUCAAUUACCAUUGUUAAUGAAUACUUUUCUAAAGUUUUAAACAACGUUAUGCAAGCGCUAAUGAGCGGACUUACAACUUUCCCACAACUUGUUUGGAAAACGUUAUUCCGCUGUCAAGUAAACGUUUUGAUAACGUUUAGCGCUAUUAAGGUAUCAACUUCUAUCAACUUUUUCCAGCAGGAUUAUGAAAAUUUACGAGAAAGAUGUAGCUAUACUGAACUGGAAUAUGCAAUUAUGAUGCUUAAUAAUGUUUCCUAGUAAUUCAGAUUCCUUCGAUGCAACUGUAUUCAUAGGUGCCUCCUUUCCACUGUUCAUUUUUAGGACAAUAGUAGGCAGUUUUAAGAUACGAUGUUUUAGGAUCUCAAGCUGAGCACAAAUUUGCAACAUUAUGCCGCUUAUCAAUGCGUCGUUGGCCGCGUGCAAAGUAGCAGAAGCAGCAUUACCAAUGACUUGAUGUGUAUAAGAUAUUGCAUAGAGACGUGUGUUGGAGUAAUUGUAUGGAAGCCAGGCAGGAAACGGUAACGUCUUUUGAGCAACAAAUUACUUGCCUUAAAGCAAGCGCUAACAAUAGAGAGUAAUAUAAAUGAACUACUUGUGAAUUCAUCGACUGUCUGAACCGUCAAAAUGAUACUCAUCAAUUGUG